rnacentral:rRNA from 1 species
AGUGAACGCUGGCGGUAGGCCUAACACAUGCAAGUCGAACGGCAGCACAGGAGAGCUUGCUCCCUGGGUGGCGAGUGGCGGACGGGUGAGGAAUACAUCGGAAUCUACUCUGUCGUGGGGGAUAACGUAGGGAAACUUACGCUAAUACCGCAUACGACCUACGAGUGAAAGCAGGGGACCUUCGGGCCUUGCGCGAUUGAAUGAGCCGAUGUCGGAUUCGCGAGUUGGCGGGGUAAAGGCCCACCAAGGCGACGAUCCGUAGCUGGUCUGAGAGGAUGAUCAGCCACACUGGAACUGAGACACGGUCCAGACUCCUACGGGAGGCAGCAGUGGGGAAUAUUGGACAAUGGGCGCAAGCCUGAUCCAGCCAUACCGCGUGGGUGAAGAAGGCCUUCGGGUUGUAGAGCCCUUUUGUUGGGAAAGAAAUCCAGCUGGCUAAUACCCGGUUGGGAUGACGGUACCCAAAGAAUAAGCACCGGCUAACUUCGUGCCAGCAGCCGCCGUAA